GAUGAACGCUGGCGGCGUGCUUAACACAUGCCAGUCGAACGGAAAGGCCCAAGCUUGCUUGGGUACUCGAGUGGCGAACGGGUGAGUAACACGUGGGUGAUCUGCCCUGCACUUCGGGAUAAGCCUGGGAAACUGGGUCUAAUACCGGAUAGGACGAUGGUUUGGAUGCCAUUGUGGAAAGUUUUUUCGGUGUGGGAUGAGCUCGCGGCCUAUCAGCUUGUUGGUGGGGUAAUGGCCUACCAAGGCGUCGACGGGUAGCCGGCCUGAGAGGGUGUACGGCCACAUUGGGACUGAGAUACGGCCCAGACUCCUACGGGAGGCAGCAGUGGGGAAUAUUGCACAAUGGGCGCAAGCCUGAUGCAGCGACGCCGCGUGGGGGAUGACGGCCUUCGGGUUGUAAACUCCUGUCGCUAGGGACGAAGCGUUUUUGUGACGGUACCUGGAGAAGAAGCACCGGCUAACUACGUG
rnacentral:rRNA from 1 species